AAUGAUACACUUCAAGAGAGUCGUGUACAGGAAAUACGAUCGGCAGUGCUGACUCUGAAGUUAUAUAGCUAGUUCAAGAUAAACGUAAACACAGCACGAAGACAACGCAGACACGUCAUCUCAUCUACGGCUGUUUUUGAAGGUAUCUUGGAUUCUGUGUUGCUCGUCUCGACCCCCAAGAUGAACAACCAAAAACCACACACCAGGCCAAUUGAAGCUGUGUCGCAUUACCAAAAAGGUCUUCUUACCACCCAUCGCCUGAUGAUAUCGUUCUCAGACCAUACGUGACUGUCCCGGAGACACUAGAAUUUGUGUUUGGGGCUCCCUUGAAUGAAGAUCCAUACUCUGUCGGACAGCCAAACCAUCUCUCAAGGUCAGGUGCUUCCAAUCUUGCAAGAAGUGACGCAGUGUAUGGGGAGCUCUUUUCUGGGUUUCAAGAUCCAGACAUACCCCCACUUCCAUCCAAUAUCGCAAUGCCCGUAUGGUCAUGUCCUGUUGCUGCCACGCUUUCCAUUGGGGUUCUUCCCAAUACUCUCCAAAAGCCAGCUGUUUGGUGGGCACUUCCUGUUACUCAGGCUCCACUAUGACUACUGUUUUAAAUUCCCAUGUAAACAAAAUGAAUACCAUAAAAAUUAUUUUACAGGUCGCACUGGCGUAAAAGUCAC